ACAGCCCACAGCGUCGGGCCCUGCCCAUGUGCGUCUUGCAGCAGCCGACACGCGCCCCACUUUCCUCGUCACCUGCUCCACCGCCGCUGCCGGCGGCGGUCCUCCCCAUCCCCCGGUUCCCUGCUCCACCCCGCUAUCGGCGGAGGCCCUCCACACCCCAGCGGUCCUCCCCACCGCCAUCCCAUCCCAGUGCGACGAGGGCAAGAGUGCAACACCACGGAGGGAUCGACGCAGAGCAGCGGCCGCCUAUCCGCCAAGCCUACGGCCGGUUUGGUCCAAUAUGGACAAAGUUCUUCAUUUUAUCCUCAGGAAGAACGGCCUCGGCACCGAGGGCGCGCCACCGUUGCCGGACGACCUCCGGCCCUACCGAGAAUUGUACAAAAAGCCUCCGCCGAGCAAUUUCAUUGAGGCACUAACUGCCCUGGUUGAAUCUUCAGGUUCGGGCAAGAAGAGAUGAUGGGCUCGGGACACGCGGUGCAGGCUAUCCAGCCCUGAUCUCGUGCCCCUUGCGAUGUGUGCCACUUUGUUUACAAUGUUUAGUUCCCUCUCUUGUUGUUGUUGUCUGUUGUGGGUUGCUGCCUGUGUUGCUGAAGCUUUGUUCGUCAAUGUUGGGCGGAUGUUGUGUCUGCUGCUGUCGGCUGCCAAUUCGUGCUGCUAUAUGUUCUUGUUUCUGCUCGGUGAUGUGCAAGACAGAUCUUGCCAGUGCUAUCUCCAUUGUGGUGGUGUCUCGAGUUCUUGUUGUUUCAGCUUGCAAUGUUCAGUUGGAAUGUAAGCGGAAUUAACAACCCCGCCAAGCUCAGCGCCGUUAGAUUGUUUGUUGGAUCGCAGAAAUGCAGCGUUUUCUGCCUCCAGGAGACCAACAUGGCUUUGAUCACUAGGGAAGUGGUCGUGGAGACUCUCAGCAGCCGGUUGGGGGACAAUUUCAUCUUCGAACCACCAGCUGACAGAACGAGUGGUGGAAUUUUUAUUGCCUGCUUAGAUGACUUCUCUUUACUGCAUGAGGUGUUGGCUGAUGGUGCUCACUCCAUCACUGGCCAUGAGUACAGGGGUGACGGCACCAGCUGGUCGAUACGGGGUUUUAUGGACCUCUAGAGCAUGAUGAGAAGCUCGCGUUUCUGCAGGAGAUCAGGAAUGUCAAGAUUGUUGUGUAGCCACAAUGGUUUAUUUUGGGAGAUUUCAACCUCAUCUGCCUGAUACGGGAUAAAAGCAACAAUAAUGUCAACCUUUGGAUCAUGGGUCGCUUCCGCUCGACCAUUGACGAUCUUGAGCUCAGAGAAACGCCACUUGUGGGAAGGAGGUUCACUUGGUCGAAUGAAAGAGAGAAUACCGUUCAUACGAAGAUCGAUCGUCUCCUCGUCACUGAUGAAUGGGAGCUUGCCCAUUUUCAGUUCCAGCUUUCCCCGGCCUCCAUGUGUGUCUCAGACCAUUGUUUGAUUCUCCGCACGAUGCAUAUCACUCCAAGGGACUUCAGUUUGAAUCCUUCUGGUUAAGGGUGCCAGAUUUCAAGCAGGUGGCCAAAGAUGCAUAGGACAAACCCAUCUGUUCCAUGGAUCACAUUAGGGGUCUUCACAUCAAGCUCAAUCGUGUCAACCGUACACUCAAAGUUUGGCAUAAUUCCAAGAUGAAGUAGACUGCCUUCAUGUCCAGUUUGGCAAAUGAGGUCAUCUUCAGACUGGAUGUGGCUCAAGAGGAGAGGGAAUUGUCAAUUGAGGAAAAAAUAAAUCUGAGGAGGCUUCUGAAGAACACACUGCUGGGAUUCGCUUCCAUCAACCAUACCAAAUGGAAGCAGAGAGCUAGAAUUAACUGGAUCAAAGAAGGGGACGCAAAUGCAAAAAAAAAAAAAAAAAGUGAGCUGCGUGCAAAUAGUCGUUGAAAGAAAUAUCACAUUCCAUCCCUGAUUGCCCAUGAUGAGUUGGUGUUGGAGCAUGAGACAAGGCUGCUGCCCUUCUGGACCACUUCAGAGUAGUUAUGGGAUCACAUCAUCAGCAUGGGGCUGGGCUGAACUGGGAAUCCAUCAAUCUGCCGCAAGCUGAGCUCUCUCAUCUUGAGGCCCCUAUCACGGAGGAAUUACAUGCUGCACUUUUUGGCCUUCCUUUGAAUAGGGCUCCAGGUCGACGCUUUUAGUGCUAAAUUUUAUUCGGCUUGCUGGAGCCUAGUAAAGGAUGAUCUCUUGGCGGCCUUCAACCAGGGAAGAUCACUGGAACCUGCUAAACACAACCAAACUGGUGCUGAUCACAAAAAAGGAAUUCAGGUCAAUCAGCCUUAUGUAUAGCUGUGCGAAGAUUCUGUGCAAGUUACUAGCCAAUCGUUUGGCACCAGAGUUGCAACAUCUGAUCUCUGUUUGACAGUGUGCUUUUAUCAAGGACCGUUCCAUCCAAGACAACUUUCUCUGUGUGAAAAAUGUCUUGAAGGAAGCAAAAUCAAAGAAGAUGCCUCUGGUUUUCCUGAAGCUUGACAUAGAUAAAGCCUUCGACUCCGCUUCUUGCUGGAGGUUAUGGCUCACAUGGGUUUUGGUCAGUGGUGGAGGGACCUAAAUUUGUUGGUGCUGGCUUGAUCCUCGUCUUGUGUUCUCCUUAAUAGUUCUUCGGGGAGGCCUUUUCUUCAUAGGAGGGGAUUGAAGCAGGGGGGGCCCUUGUCCCCUAUGCUCUUUAUCCUGGUAAUGGAGCCUCUUCAGCGGAUCCUUGUUUUGGCCACUGAUCGUAAUAUCUUGUCACCUCUUCGAUUGUCGGCUGCUCGGUUGCAUGCAAGUUUCUAUGCAGCCGAUGAAGCCUUGUUCGUCAACCCGCGCCACAAGAUCUUUCGACCGUGCAAGCGAUUUUGCAGCUGUUUGGUGAUGCCUCAGGCCUCCACAGCAACAUCGGCAAGUGUGUGGCCUACCUAGUCGGCUGUGACAAUCUGGAUAUGCAAGAAGUGCUCCUGAAAUUUGGUGGCUUGCAGGAAUCCCUUCCCUGCCGCUACCUUUGUCUGCCUCUGAGUAUUAGAAAGCCGAGGAGGGUUCAUGGUCAGAUUGUCCUCGACAAGAUUGCUAGUAGGCUCAAGAAGUGGAAAGGAAAACCCAUGACUUGCAAGGGUCGCCUGAGUUCAUUAAUUCGGUUCUCACCUCUACGACGACAUAUUUCUUAUUUUCCUUCCUGGCUGAUAAGUGGAUGGUCAAGAAGAUGGAUAAGCUAAGGCUAAAUUUCCUUUAGAACGCGGAUGAGGAGGCGCACACGGGCAAGUGUAUGGUUAAUUGGAAGAAAAUAUUUGGCCCCAAGCAGUUAGGCGGGCUGGGCAUCAAAGAUAUUCAAAUACAAGCUUACAGAUGGGAAUGGUUGGAUUGGGCACCGGCUGAUACACUGUGGAAAGGAACUCUCACCAUGUGAUGAUGCGGAUAAGCAGCUAUUUGUUGCCUGCUCGUCUAUCACCCUCGGCAAAGGAGAUAAGGCCUGCUUUUGAGGCCGGGGGUAAUCCUCCUUUUCGAGAGAGAAAAAAAGAAAAAAAAUGUGUUCCGUGUGAGAUCGCGCCAGAGAUUUUCGGUCUUGCCAGGCAAAAGAACCUGCUCUUGGGCGAGGCUCUUGCAAAUAGCAGAUGGCUCACAGGUCUGCACAGGAUUUCCUCCUGAAUCCCAGUUGGAUCAGUUCAUCGACGUCUGGGGUUUAAUCCAAUCGGUUCAGCUUAUGGUGAGCUGUGACUCGGUCACUUGGAAAUUAUCUGCUGAUUGUGUUUACUCUGCGAGAUCUGCUAUCAUGCUCAGUUCACUGGAUGGAUUCUGCAGCCGGUGCUUGAAAAGAUUUGGAAGGCCAAAGUUGAGGGCAAGGUCAAAUUCUGCACGUGGCUUCUUUUGCAGAACAGAAACUGGACCGUGGAUCACCUAAGCAACCGAGGAUGGCCGCAUAACGAUAGAUGUGUCCUCUGUGAUCAUGAGGAUGAGACUGCUCGGCACAUUACGCUUUCAUGUCUGUAUGCCAAAGUAUGGCAACUAUUCAGCAUGAGCAGAGCAGGCCGUUGGUGACAGCAGCGGCGCUUCAAUCUUCCUCAGUUAUUGCUGGUGACGGGAAGUGUCAGCGGGGAGGAAUGAUGCCAUGAAGCAAGAAAGGAUCACGCUGGCGUUGUACACCGCCUGGCAUCUUUGGAAAGAAAGAAGCAGGCGGGUUUUUGAGCACAAGGAAGCUCCUCCUGCUUGCCUUGGCAUUUGCGAUGACAUCAACCUCCCGCGUAAGGCUAGAGGGUUACUGAUCUGAGCACCUGCUGCUUGUUUUUGCGGCUCAUUUUCCAGUUUCUCUUAUAUGUGUCCUCUGGUGAUGUUUCACUUACCUCUCCCCUUCUAAUAAAGCAUAAGCAGAGCUCCUGCUGUUCUUGUAAAAAAAUCCUCCAAAAUUCCUGUGUUUCAAAAGUUCAUGUAUUUAAGAUCCUGUAGGAUUACCUCAAAAAAAUAUCCUGUAGGAAUUCAUACUAGAUACUAUGUUACAUUCCAUUCCUAUGUUUUCCCCAUUAGUAUGUUUCAUGCAAUCGUCUUUCUAUAACUGAUAAGGUGCAAUAGAACAACAUGAGUGAUGAUUCAGUUAACGAGGUAAAAUUUGAUGGAUAUUGGCCCAUGGUGACUAUUUUCUUCUCUUGUUAUUGAUGUUGUUUCAGUUGUGAUUCAUAACCUGUUGAUAUUUUUCUUCACCUCGACAGGAUUGAACAUCCCCUCACACUUUGUUUGAUGAAAAUCAGGUUAUGCUUUUUUUUGCAGGUGAAAAAUCAGGUUAUGCUUGUUUGCAGAGCAAGGUUUAUUGAUAUUAUACAGAUCCAACAAUCCGUUACAGGAUAGGAUUUAGAUCAUUGCAUUAGCUGGUUAUAUAGCUGAUGAGAAAAUGCAUAUCGCUCCGAUUAUAGAGAAGGAUACUAGAGAAGCUUCUGGCAUUGAAGUUGAACAGGUAUCUACAAAUUUCAAGCAGAGCAGUCGCUACUUUCUUUUUCCUUUGUUCGUCACUGUUAAGUUCAAUUAUCAAAUAGGAAAAUUAAUGGUUAUGCCUUUACUGUAUGAUCUCCUGAACAUAACUUGUAUUUUACUAAGUUAUGAUGUGUUAAGCAUGACUUCUAAAUUUUGAUAGCUAAUUUUCGCACUACUAUUUUUUUCCCUUACGAUUCUGGAAAACAUGGCCAAGUUUGCUAACUUAGCAAAUCCUGGUUUUCACCGGAAGGGUAUUCCCUUGCAGGUUGUUGGUUGAUCUUGGUUUUCACUGGAAGGAUAUUCCCUUGCAGGUUGUUGGUUGAUCUUUGUUUUCACCGGAAGGAUAUUCCCUUGCAGGUUGUUGGUUGAUCUUGGUUUUCACUGGAAGGAUAUUCCCUUGCAGGUUGUUGGUUGAUCUUUGUUUUCACCGGAAGGAUAUUCCCUUGCAGGUUGUUGGUUGAUCUUGGUUUUCACUGGAAGGAUAUUCCCUUGCAGGUUGUUGGUUGAUCUUUGUUUUCACCGGAAGGAUAUUCCCUUGCAGGUUGUUGGUUGAUCUUGGUUUUCACUGGAAGGAUAUUCCCUUGCAGGUUGUUGGUUGAUCUUUGUUUUCACCGGAAGGAUAUUCCCUUGCAGGUUGUUGGUUGAUCUUGGUUUUCACUGGAAGGAUAUUCCCUUGCAGGUUGUUGGUUGAUCUUUGUUUUCACCGGAAGGAUAUUCCCUUGCAGGUUGUUGGUUGAUCUUGGCAUGCUCGCUGUUUUCUCUGGUCAUUGUAGCAGGCAAGCCAUUUCUAAUAUCUGUUUCAGUGAGACCAUUAUGUUAUGUCAUUUGUUCCUUGUGUUUUGAUGGGCUCAACUGUAGCUAAACUGAAAACCAGCACAGCAUGUAUCUCAGUUUGAGUAAAAGAUGUGCAUCCGAAGUUGCCUAUAUUACAUAUUAUUCACAUUUUGCUCCUGACCUUUGACAUAUAUCUAAGGGAGAACGCGUCGUGGAUGGUGGCUCUUGCUGUCUUGGAUUGACAUUUUGACUUGCUUCUUUUGCGCACGCUAUUGCCUUAAGGGUGCAAUGGGAAUGCUGAGACGAACUGAUGCUUAGCGGCCAUGGCACGGGCUGUUGCUCAUAUCUGACGAUUUGGUGCAUGAUGUAUUUCGCAGUUUGGUACAGAUCAAAACCAGUGAUGGUAAGAAAAUGCUCUUUUGGUGUGAGCGAUGGCUUAAUGGACUUGUUGCGGAAGACAUUGCUCCACUUAUUUGUAUGCAAGUGAGCACACACACGAAGAAUGGGAGGAUAGUGCACUGCUGCUUGUUACUUGUGUCUGCGACAGGAGGAUACUGUUGAUUAUAUCAUCGUUCAGUGGGUGGUGUCGCGAGAACUUGGCGCAGAUGCUUCUGUGAUCUGCAAGUCAAUGUGCCUUGCCCUAUGGCUACAAAUACCUUGGAGGCAUGGUGGUUGAAUGCUAGACUUAGUUUUCUGGGCAAGGAUCGUCAAGGCUUCGAACUCUUUGGGCAUUCUAUAAUUAGUUGGAACCUUUGGAAGCAGCGUAAAAUACAAGAGUAUUUAGCAAUAGGCAGCAGCAAUUAACCAUACAGCAGGUCAGCAGUUAGUUGAUCUCAACCUUGAGGAUUGGAGGGAGUGGAAGCUUGCAGGAGCUGGAAGCCUUGAUUGUUUUGUGAGAAUUAGAAUAUGUUAAGUAUGUAAGGAGUUGAUUUGCCUGAUUUGGAUGUCAGCAUCCAAACUCCAUUUGUUGUAAUCUAUAGAAGAUGUCCAGCAUCUUCUUGUAAUCCCGUUACAGCACUGCCAAAUGAGUUCUUCUGGCAUUGGGUUUUUUUUAACUAA